GCAGUGGCUCAGGUUGAGAACAUCUGCUGGACGUGCAGAAGGUCCCAGGUUCAACCCCUGGCCUCUCCA
rnacentral:tRNA from 1 species